UGGGGAAUAUUGGACAAUGGACCAAGAGUCUGAUCCAGCAAUUCUGUGUGCACGAUGAAGUUUUUCGGAAUGUAAAGUGCUUUCAGUUGGGAAGAAAAAAAUGACGGUACCAACAGAAGAAGUGACGGCUAAAUACGUGCCAGCAGCCGCGGUAAUACGUAUGUCACAAGCGUUAUCCGGAUUUAUUGGGCGUAAAGCGCGUCUAGGUGGUUAUAUAAGUCUGAUGUGAAAAUGCAGGGCUCAACUCUGUAUUGCGUUGGAAACUGUGUAACUAGAGUACUGGAGAGGUAAGCGGAACUACAAGUGUAGAGGUGAAAUUCGUAGAUAUUUGUAGGAAUGCCGAUGGGGAAGCCAGCUUACUGGACAGAUACUGACGCUGAAGCGCGAAAGCGUGGGUAGCAAACAGGAUUAGAUACCCUGGUAGUCCACGCCGUAAACGAUGAUUACUAGGUGUUGGGGGUCGAACCUCAGCACCCAAGCAAACGCGAUAAGUAAUCCGCCUGGGGAGUACGUACGCAAGUAUG
rnacentral:rRNA from 1 species